rnacentral:rRNA from 1 species
GGUUAAGCGACUAAGCGUACACGGUGGAUGCCCUGGCAGUCAGAGGCGAUGAAGGACGUGCUAAUCUGCGAUAAGCGCCGGUAAGGUGAUAUGAACCGUUAUAACCGGCGAUUUCCGAAUGGGGAAACCCAGUGUGACUCGUCACACUAUCAUUAACUGAAUCCAUAGGUUAAUGAGGCGAACCGGGGGAACUGAAACAUCUAAGUACCCCGAGGAAAAGAAAUCAACCGAGAUUCCCCCAGUAGCGGCGAGCGAACGGGGAGGAGCCCAGAGCCUGAAUCAGCAUGUGUGUUAGUGGAAGCGUCUGGAAAGGCGCGCGAUACAGGGUGACAGCCCCGUACACAAAAGCGCAUGUGCUGUGAGCUCGAUGAGUAGGGCGGGACACGUGGUAUCCUGUCUGAAUAUGGGGGGACCAUCCUCCAAGGCUAAAUACUCCUGACUGACCGAUAGUGAACCAGUACCGUGAGGGAAAGGCGAAAAGAACCCCGGCGAGGGGAGUGAAAAAGAACCUGAAACCGUGUACGUACAAGCAGUGGGAGCACAGGUUUACCUGUGUGACUGCGUACCUUUUGUAUAAUGGGUCAGCGACUUAUAUUCUGUAGCAAG